AUGAACGCUGGCGGCGUGCCUAAUACAUGCAAGUCGAGCGAACGGACGAGAAGCUUGCUUCUCUGAUGUUAGCGGCGGACGGGUGAGUAACACGUGGAUAACCUACCUAUAAGACUGGGAUAACUUCGGGAAACCGGAGCUAAUACCGGAUAAUAUUUUGAACCGCAUGGUUCAAAAGUGAAAGACGGUCUUGCUGUCACUUAUAGAUGGAUCCGCGCUGCAUUAGCUAGUUGGUAAGGUAACGGCUUACCAAGGCAACGAUGCAUAGCCGACCUGAGAGGGUGAUCGGCCACACUGGGACUGAGACACGGUCCAGACUCCUACGGGAGGCAGCAGUAGGGAAUCUUCCGCAAUGGGCGAAAGCCUGACGGAGCAGCGCCGCGUGAGUGAUGAAGGUCUUCGGAUCGUAAAACUCUGUUAUUAGGGAAGAACAUAUGUGUAAGUAACUGUGCACAUCUUGACGGUACCUAAUCAGAAAGCCACGGCUAACUACGUG
rnacentral:rRNA from 1 species